rnacentral:rRNA from 1 species
ACACUUCCUAGCAUGAAGUCAGACAAGUGAACCCGCCGAAUUUAAGCAUAUAAGUAAGCGGAGGAAAAGGAACUAAACAGGAUUCCCUUAGUAAUGGCGAACGAACAGGGAUCAGCUUGGGUUGGAAACCGGGGCUUCUGCCUUGGAUUGUGGCCUUUAGACAUACUACCAACGGCGGCGCGAGCGUAAGCCUCUUGGAACAGAGCGUCUACGUGGGUGAGAAUCCUGUGUUUCGCUUGAUGCCCGCCGUGCACGGUACUUGCUCUCAGAGUCACGCUCCUCGGAAUUGGAGCGUAAAUUGGGUGGUAAAUUUCAUCUAAAGCUAAAUACAGGCUCGAGACCGAUAGCAAACAAGUACCAUGAGGGAAAGAUGAAAAGGACUUUGAAAAGAGAGUUAAAAGUGCUUGAAAUCGCUGAACUGGAAGCGAAUGGAACUAGUGCUCUUGUUGAGAUUGCUGCAAGUGGCUGCGACAUCUGGGCUCUGGAACGCAAGUCUUUUGUCUGGUUUGAAGCAGUUGCUUGCAAUGUGUCUCAGCUUGAACAUCAACUUCUAUGCAUACGUGAGGAUGGCCCUUAGCUCAUGCUGUCUUGCUGUGGCGAUACUCUUGUGCUUCUGGGGAUUCAGGUGUGUGUGGAUUGUUGAUCAAUUAGUUCCAUUCGACCCGUCUUGAAACACGACCAAGGAGUCUAACA